rnacentral:lncRNA from 1 species
AGUCAACACGUGUGUCGUGUGUUCAUGACAUGAAAAACGGAGAAUAAAACCAAGGAUUUGCUAAUGAGUUAUCUUUUAUAUUAUUAAAGUAAAAAUUGUCUGUUCUUCGACCCCUAAUAACCCUGGCCAAUGUCGACUACUAACAUUAGUAUGCAAUGGUGGCUUCUCAAUAGCACUGUGGAACUACAGCACUCCCUAUUAAUGUCUUAUAUACACGUUUUUGUUGAUAUAUAUUGUUAUACAUGAAUAUCAUAAAGAAGAUAUGAUUAUCAAUAGUACUUAAACUUACAAUUGUUCCACACCCUCUCAUUUAUAUAAAAACAUUAGUUAUUAUUUAUUAACUACAAAUGAGGCUAACAAUAUGUGUAACUGCGUACUCAACAGUUCCAAUUUUACUUCUAUGGUGGUUUUUGAUACCCGAUAGCCUAUCGGCGAUAGGCAAUAGCUAAGCCGCUAGGAUAGAAGAAGGGAGAACACUUUGACUCGCACAGUGAGACGUGCGCGGAAGUCUAUAAAUGUUUCGGGGAUCAUCAUACAAAUGCUAGAUUUUCAUUUCUUGAAUGGGGGAAAUCAAUUUGACGUCAUUAAUAUAUAAUGUAGAUAAAUUCUUAGUCAUUCACCAAGUUUUUGUUUUUUUUCAAUCCGUAGUUUCGUUUAAUCGCACCAUUCGCUGGAAAAUAAGUCAUCUCAAGUAGCCUUCAAAAUCACGAAUAGAGUGUAAUGGAUCGAAUGAAAGGUAUAAUGGGCGUUAGUACAUUUAUUUAUCUUGUAAAGUUUCCAAUCAAUCUGUCCACGUGAAGUACAUAAAUUUUAACCAGACAUUAACACAUUCAAUCUUUAUUACUGCGCAAUAUAAAAGUACUUUGCCCUAA